rnacentral:rRNA from 1 species
CACGUAGGGUGCGAGCGUUGUCCGGAAUUAUUGGGCGUAAAGAGCUCGUAGGCGGUGUGUCGCGUCGGCCGUGAAAACCUGCAGCUUAACUGUGGGCGUGCGGUCGAUACGGGCAUCACUGGAGUUCGGCAGGGGAGACUGGAAUUCCUGGUGUAGCGGUGAAAUGCGCAGGUAUCAGGAGGAACACCGGUGGCGAAGGCGGGUCUCUGGGCCGAUACUGACGCUGAGGAGCGAAAGCGUGGGGAGCGAACAGG